UACGUAGGGUGCAAGCGUUAAUCGGAAUUACUGGGCGUAAAGCGUGCGCAGGCGGUUGUGCAAGACCGAUGUGAAAUCCCCGGGCUUAACCUGGGAAUGGCAUUGGUGACUGCACGGCUAGAGUGUGUCAGAGGGGGGGUGGAAUUCCACGUGUAGCAGUGAAAUGCGUAGAGAUGUGGAGGAACACCGAUGGCGAAGGCAGCCCCCUGGGCCAAUACUGACGCUCAUGCACGAAAGCGUGGGGAGCAAACAGG
rnacentral:rRNA from 1 species